rnacentral:rRNA from 1 species
GGGCUUUCGUCUUGUAAUUGGAAUGAUGGUGAUGUACUACCUCACCAAAGUACCAAUUGGAGGGCAAGUCUGGUGCCAGCAGCCGCGGUAGUUCCAGCUCCAAUAGCGUAUAUUAAACUUGUUGCAGUUAAAAAGCUCGUAGUUGUAUUUCAGCCUCGCGUUUUUUCCCUGGUUUUGGGUCUUUUCGCUGGCUUUUUUUUUACUUUGAGAAAAUUAGAGUGUUUCAAGCAGACUUUUGUCUUGAAUACUUCAGCAUGGAAUAAUAGAGUAGGACCUAGAUUCUAUUUUGUUGGUUUUGAGCCUUGGUAAUGGUUAAUAGGAACGGUUGGGGGCAUUCGUAUUUAACUGUCAGAGGUGAAAUUCUUAGAUUUGUUAUAGACGAACCACUGCGAAAGCAUUUGC